GACGAACGCUGGCGGCGUGCUUAACACAUGCAAGUCGAGCGGGGAUUAGUGAGAACUUCGGUUGGAUCUAAUUCUAGCGGCGGACGGGUGAGUAACGCGUGAGCAAUCUGUCCCAGACAGGGGGAUAACACUUGGAAACAGGUGCUAAUACCGCAUAAGACCACGGAGUCGCAUGGCUUUGGGGUAAAAGAAAUUCGGUUUGGGGUGAGCUCGCGUCCGAUUAGCUAGUUGGUGAGGUAACGGCCCACCAAGGCGACGAUCGGUAGCCGACCUGAGAGGGUGAUCGGCCACAUUGGAACUGAGAAACGGUCCAGACUCCUACGGGAGGCAGCAGUGGGGAAUAUUGGGCAAUGGGCGAAAGCCUGACCCAGCGACGCCGCGUGAGGGAAGAAGGGUCUUCGGAUUGUAAACCUUAGUCAACAGGGAAGAAGCAAGUGACGGUACCUGUGGAGGAAGCCACGGCUAACUACGUG
rnacentral:rRNA from 1 species